rnacentral:rRNA from 1 species
AUGAAUUCCUUGAUUUGGAACUGCCGGGGGGCGGGGAACCGCCAGACAGUUCGUGAGGUGUUGGCCCUCUCUAAAACCAACGUCCCCAAGCUUGUCUUUCUCUGUGAGACGACGCAAGCAGCUGAUAAGAUAGAAAAGAUAAGGUGGAGGCUAGGUUUGAAAGGUUUCUGUGGUGUUAGUUAUGUGGGACUAAGUGGUGGCCUUGCUCUAUAUUGGGAUGAACCGUUACUGGUCAUGGUGUUGGACUCAUGUUAG